GUGGGGAAUCUUGCGCAAUGGGCGAAAGCCUGACGCAGCCAUGCCGCGUGAAUGAUGAAGGUCUUAGGAUUGUAAAAUUCUUUCACCGGGGACGAUAAUGACGGUACCCGGAGAAGAAGCCCCGGCUAACUUCGUGCCAGCAGCCGCGGUAAUACGAAGGGGGCUAGCGUUGCUCGGAAUUACUGGGCGUAAAGGGCGCGUAGGCGGACAGUUUAGUCAGAGGUGAAAGCCCAGGGCUCAACCUUGGAAUUGCCUUUGAUACUGGCUGGCUUGAGUACGGGAGAGGUGAGUGGAACUCCGAGUGUAGAGGUGAAAUUCGUAGAUAUUCGGAAGAACACCAGUGGCGAAGGCGACUCACUGGCCCGUUACUGACGCUGAGGCGCGAAAGCGUGGGGAGCAAACAGGAUUAGAUACCCGGGUAGUCC
rnacentral:rRNA from 1 species